UCUAACCAUCUUUGACAGAUAAAACAUAAAUAACCAAAUACAAAUUCCAACAAACCAUAAUACAUAAAUCAUACGGGAAUAGACGAGACAAGAAGGUUAGGCAUAGUUUUUCAAGACCCAGUUAAAAAUGCAUGUUCCAUGGAAGACAUGUUGGCAGCAUUGCAACCCAAGAAGAUCAUUGACCGGAGUGUCAGUGAUAUCGUCUAAGCAAAUACAACAUUGGUGGAUUUUCACGCAAUCUUAAUUGACCCACCUAUUAUCC
rnacentral:lncRNA from 1 species